rnacentral:lncRNA from 1 species
UUGGUUGAAGGGACGGUAGUUUGCACUCAUAUUCAACCGGUGCAUGAUUAUUGAAGGAUUAAUUUUCGGCAUAUCUGCUAGUGUCCCAACGAAAAUGUCUGAGUUUGCUUGCAAAAAGAAGGUCAGUUGGUCUUUCAUUACCUGAUCUAGGUUUGACCCAACCUGGACUGUGCUCCGGGUUUCCAUCCACUAAUGGGACUGAGAUGAUAUCCUCAAUGGGCUCUCCACAUUCCUCAGCCAACUCAUUGUGAGUAUCCAGCCACUCGAUCGAG